rnacentral:rRNA from 1 species
ACGUUAAUCGGGGCAGGGUGAGUCGACCCCUAAGGCGAGGCCGAAAGGCGUAGUCGAUGGGAAACAGGUUAAUAUUCCUGUACUUGGUGUUACUGCGAAGGGGGGACGGAGAAGGCUAUGUUAGCCGGGCGACGGUUGUCCCGGUUUAAGCAUGUAGGCUGGUUGUCCAGGCAAAUCCGGAUAAUCAAGGCUGAGGUGUGAUGACGAGGCACUACGGUGCUGAAGUAACAAAUGCCCUGCUUCCAGGAAAAGCCUCUAAGCAUCAGGUAACAUCAAAUCGUACCCCAAACCGACACAGGUGGUCAGGUAGAGAAUACCAAGGCGCUUGAGAGAACUCGGGUGAAGGAACUAGGCAAAAUGGUGCCGUAACUUCGGGAGAAGGCACGCUGGUGUGUAGGUGAAG